AGCGAACGCUGGCGGCAGGCUUAACACAUGCAAGUCGAGCGGGCAUCUUCGGAUGUCAGCGGCAGACGGGUGAGUAACACGUGGGAACGUACCCUUCGGUUCGGAACAACUCUGGGAAACUGGAGCUAAUACCGGAUACGCCCUUAUGGGGAAAGGUUUACUGCCGAAGGAUCGGCCCGCGUCUGAUUAGCUAGUUGGUGGUGUAACGGCCUACCAAGGCGACGAUCAGUAGCUGGUCUGAGAGGAUGAUCAGCCACACUGGGACUGAGACACGGCCCAGACUCCUACGGGAGGCAGCAGUGGGGAAUAUUGGACAAUGGGCGCAAGCCUGAUCCAGCCAUGCCGCGUGAGUGAUGAAGGCCUUAGGGUUGUAAAGCUCUUUUGUCCGGGACGAUAAUGACGGUACCGGAAGAAUAAGCCCCGGCUAACUUCGUG
rnacentral:rRNA from 1 species